AACUGAUACUACCUGCGGGAACCUGCGGAGGGAUCAUUACUGAAGUGAUUUGGGGAUGUUGCUGGCCCUCUCUCAAGGGGGGGCACUGUGCACUCCUCGAAACAAUUCACAAUUUCCAUCACACCCCUUGUGCACACCUUGUAGGCACCCAAACCCACCUCCGGGUGGUGGGGUCCUAUGUAUUCCUUCAUCUCACACUCUGUUGAAUGGUGCCACGGGACGCAUCUAAAGGAUUAUUUG
rnacentral:misc_RNA from 1 species